GGACCUCGCCCCAGUCUGACCACAACAUAGGGACUCUAUCCCUAAUGAGCGCUCCCACGCGGCCGGAGUACGUCCUCGACUUCCCGCCCGAUACUAUGUGGCCAUCCCCGUCAGUAUUGAUGACGAUCCUCCCCACGGUACCCACGAUCUUCUCGAGAGCCUUCCCUGUGACGGGGCCUCUCUUCUUCUUUGUCGGCUUCGCUCCGACGGUGCCUAUCACAUGAUAAACCAAAUUGAUUAUUUAAAUCGGAGACCCUUUAAAAAUAAUCAUGCAUCACUGAUUACCUGAGGCGCUCGCGGCGGACGCGACGGAUUCCGUCUCUGUCGCCGAUGAUGAUACCCUCGCAGAAAUAAGAGGCGUAUCAAAAGGCACGAACCGGUACGCCGCUGAUGGAGCCACUGGCGGGGGCAGUGGAUAAAUCGGCGUCCCUGAGUCAUCGACUACAGGUAUGGCCGGUAUCAUCUGCGGAAGGAAUAGGUGAGGCGGCGGCAUCUGUACCCCAGAUGACCCGCUAUCCGAAGAAGUAGGAGCUGGAGUGGGCGCCCGGUGUAUCUCAGGCAUACGGGGUGUAGACACCUCCGUCUAAGGCUGAGUAAACAACUGCCUCGAGGAAUGAGGGAAGCCCCGCUGCCUCGAUGAAGGGGGCACCUCCGGCUGCCUCUGAACCGUCUCCAGAAGGCUCGCACGUCUGGCUGUCAUCUGGCCCUGAAACGUCGUUUGGGGGUUGCUAGAGGUUCCCUCAGACGAUUCGGACCUUUGGCCCUUCGAACUCUUCUUCGAUCUAAAAUAGCCGCUCAUCCUAUUUAAAAUAUUAAUUUGAAUCAAGGCUGAGGCAACAUUGAAAAAGUAAAAAUUCAAGCUUAUCCUUCUCAAAUCUAAGGCUUUAGACUAUUUUGUCUUUAUUGUAUAAAAAAUAUUUUUGAAACCAUAUUUUUUCAUUAUGUCCAUGCUUAAAUUUAAACACUUAAUAUAAUGUGAAAUAUAUAUAUGUUUAAAAUUAUACUUAUUCAAAAAUAUGAAUUCAAUAAAAUAUAUAUAUAUAUAUAUAUUCAUCCGGAUUUGAUAUAAGUUUUUCUAUUUGGUAUUUGUAUUUUAUGUUUAUAAGUUUUUCUAU
rnacentral:lncRNA from 1 species